rnacentral:misc_RNA from 1 species
CUUCCUAAAAUGUUAUUUGAUAACUGGCUUAAAUUGCUUCUUUUCUAUUCUUUCUUCAUAUGAUAACAAAAAAAGACCAAAACCUAAGAAAUAAUCAAGCGAAUUCAUAUUCUUUUUGUUCAUUGCGCAUAUGAACAUUCUCUCUCAUACUAUCAUCCAAUUAAUAAUUGUUAUAUCAUUAAAACUACAAGUCGUUUAGGUAUAAAAGAAAGAGGGAGGUAUGAAACCUUGAAGGUGAAAACUGAAAAAUAAUUAAGAGGAAGGUGAGUGGUGAAGGAGAGAGAGAUUAGGGAUUUCAAGCUCUUAUCGCCUUCAGUUUUCCCUAAUCUCUUAUUUAUUGAAAAUUAGAGAUUUAUUCAUUCAUUAAUUCAUUGGAAGGAGGUAAUAAAAAAAGGAUUAGGUUAAAGUGACAUUAAUUAAAUUUAAAUUAAUUAAAUUAACUCAAAUUCAAAAUUAAAAGAUUUAAUCAAGCCAUUUUAAGGAUAAUUUUGAG